rnacentral:rRNA from 1 species
GAUCAACGCUGGCGGCGUGCCUCAGACAUGCAAGUCGAACGCGAAAGUUUCCUUCGGGAAGCGAGUAGAGUGGCGUCCGGGUGAGUAACACGUAGGUAAUCUACCUUUGGGUGGGAAUAACAACCGGAAACGGUUGCUAAUACCGCAUAAUGCAGCGGCACCACAUGGUGACAGUUGUUAAAGCGGGGGAGUCGCAAGACCUCCGCGCC